rnacentral:rRNA from 1 species
UACGGAGGGUGCAAGCGUUAAUCGGAAUUACUGGGCGUAAAGCGUGCGCAGGCGGUUAUGUAAGACAGAUGUGAAAUGCCCGGGCUUAACCUGGGAACUGCAUUUGUGACUGCAUGGCUAGAGUGUGUCAGAGGGGGGUAGAAUUCCACGUGUAGCAGUGAAACGCGUAGAUAUGUGGAGGAAUACCGAUGGCGAAGGCAGCCCCCUGGGAUAACACUGACGCUCAUGCACGAAAGCGUGGGGAGCAAACAGG